rnacentral:rRNA from 1 species
UCUUGCCUACGGGGGGCAGCAGUGGGGAAUAUUGGGCAAUGGGCGCAAGCCUGACCCAGCAACGCCGCGUGAAGGAAGAAGGCCCUCGGGUUGUAAACUUCUUUUAUUCGGGACGAAACAAAUGACGGUACCGAAUGAAUAAGCCACGGCUAACUACGUGCCAGCAGCCGCGGUAAUACGUAGGUGGCAAGCGUUAUCCGGAUUUACUGGGUGUAAAGGGCGUGUAGGCGGGACUGCAAGUCAGAUGUGAAAAUUAUGGGCUCAACCCAUAACCUGCAUUUGAAACUGUAGUUCUUGAGGGAUGG